AGAGUUUGAUCAUGGCUCAGAACGAACGCUGGCGGCAGGCUUAACACAUGCAAGUCGAACGCUGUAGCAAUACAGAGUGGCGCACGGGUGAGUAACACGUGGGAACAUGCCCUUCAGUCUAGGAUAACACCGGGAAACUGGUGCUAAUACUGGAUAUUCCCUCCGGGGGAAAGAUUUAUCGCUGAAGGAUUGGCCCGCGUUAGAUUAGGUAGUUGGUGGGGUAAUGGCCUACCAAGCCUACGAUCUAUAGCUGGUCUGAGAGGACGACCAGCCACACUGGAACUGAGACACGGUCCAGACUCCUACGGGAGGCAGCAGUGGGGAAUAUUGGACAAUGGGCGCAAGCCUGAUCCAGCCAUGCCGCGUGAGUGAUGAAGGCCUUAGGGUUGUAAAGCUCUUUUGUGAGGGAAGAUAAUGACGGUACCUCAAGAAUAAGCACCGGCUAACUUCGUGCCAGCAGCCGCGGUAAUACGAAGGGUGCUAGCGUUGUUCGGAAUUACUGGGCGUAAAGCGCGCGUAGGCGGCUAUUCAAGUCAGGGGUGAAAUCCCACAGCUCAACUGUGGAAUUGCCUUUGAAACUGUUUAGCUUGAGUGUCGGAGGGGAUAGCGGAAUUGCUAAUGUAGAGGUGAAAUUCGUAGAUAUUAGCAGGAACACCGGUGGCGAAGGCGGCUAUCUGGACGACAACUGACGCUGAGGCGCGAAAGCACGGGGAUCAAACAGGAUUAGAUACCCUAGUAGUCC
rnacentral:rRNA from 1 species